rnacentral:rRNA from 1 species
UGCGUGAAGGAUCAUU